UUGUGUUUGGCGGAGGCGCACUGGUGGAAAGAAGUUUGAAAAACAGAAAAAUAGGAAAGGAAAGAUCCACAGUGUGUGAACUUCUCGAUCGGCAGCGCAUGAUGAAGAUCUUGAUCAGGUUUGCAUCAACGUAUCCUGUUAAAAACCCCUCCCUCAGGCAACCGGCAUCGUUCUUGAAGACUUAAGAUUUCUCCCUUCUCGUUCUCUCUCGACCGAUUUCUAAGUUCAAUCGCCCUUUUGAAAUUUGGCCAUUGGAAGUUCUCGAUCGACAGUGAGUGAACUUCCUGAUAGGUGACGCUUGAUGAAGUUCUCGAUCAGAUUUGUAUCAGCGGAUCCUAUCAGAAACCUCACCCUCAAGCCAUCGGCGUCGUUCUUGAAGACAGAUUUCUCCCCUGUCGUUCUUCCUCGACCGACUUCUAAGUUCAAUCGCUCCUUUGAAAUUUGGCCAUUGGAACUUCUCGAUCCACAGGGAAUGAACUUCUCGAUCAGUGGUGCGACAGCAAUCAAUGAAGUCAGCUUGAAGCACUGGUGCGACACCUUUGUUGUCUUUCAUUAUGUGGUUCUAUCGAACUACAAAAUCUAUGAGAGGCAUGCAGCGACUUAGGAAUGCAUUUGUGUGGUUCCAGCAAUAAUACAUAUGGAUGAAUAUCCACGCUUGAUGUCGAAUAAAUUAAGAGACGCCACCAUAGUACAUAUGCUGAUCGAAUGACUUACAUUGUAGAUUCAAAUUGUCACCAGACAAAGACAAUAAUAGCAGAUAUGUGUGAUCUUUGUGCUGACCCUGGGACAAUUAUAACAAUUCCUAUCUUUGAAAUAGCAAAAAUGAGAAAAAUCUCUUGGCCUGCAGAAGAAAUGUCUAGAGAUACUUCAAGUGUUCAACACUUCCCUUUUGAACAUUUAAGCAAUCCAUGGGCCGCCGUGACUCAAUUUCAUGACAUUUAACCUGCCCGACAUAUGGUACUUAAAACUUCA